rnacentral:rRNA from 1 species
AGCACGUAGGUGGGUUUGUAAGUCAGACGUGAAAGCCUUCUGUUCAACGGAAGAAUUGCAUCUGAAACUACAAACCUUGAGUGUAGGAGGGGAGAAUGGAACUUCUGGUGGAGCGGUGAAAUGCGUAGAUAUCAGGAGGAACGCCGGAGGCGAAAGCGAUUCUCUGGCCUAUUACUGACACUCAGUGUGCGAAAGCUAGGGGAGCAAACGGGAUUAGAUACCCCGGUAGUCCUAGCCGUAAACGAUGGGCACUAAGUAGAGGGG